rnacentral:rRNA from 1 species
GGAAACUCACCAGGUCCAGACACAACUAGGAUUGACAGAUUGAGAGCUCUUUCUUGAUUUUGUGGGUGGUGGUGCAUGGCCGUUCUUAGUUGGUGGAGUGAUUUGUCUGCUUAAUUGCGAUAACGAACGAGACCUUAACCUGCUAAAUAGCCCAACUGGCUUUGGCUGGCUGCUGGCUUCUUAGAGGGACAUUCGGCUCAAGCCGACGGAAGUUUGAGGCAAUAACAGGUCUGUUAUGCCCUUAGAUGUUCUGGGCCGCACGCGCGCUACACUGACAGAGCCAGCGGGUUUUUCUCCUUAACCGAAAGGUUUGGGUAAACCUAGAAACUCUGUCGUGCUGGGGAUAGAGCAUUGCAAUUAUUGCUCUUCAACGAGGAAUGCCUAGUAAGCGCAUGUCAUCAGCAUGCGUUGAUUACGUCCCUGCCCUUUGUACACACCGCCCGUCGUUACUACCGAUUGAAUGGCUCAGUGAGGCAUUCCGACUGGCCUGGGGAUGUUGGCAACGACAACCCUGGGCUGGAAAGUUUGUCAAACUUGGUCAUUUAGAGGAAGUAC